GUGAUUCGGGGUGCACCAGGCGCGAAAACUUUACAAUGCUGGCAACAGCGAUAAGGGGACCUCGAGUGCCAGGAUACAAUCUUGGCUGUCGCGAUGCCUAAAAAGCAUUGCAUAGCAAGGGCCGGGCAAGACCGGUGCCAGCCGCCGCGGUAACACCGGCGGCUCGAGUGGUAACCGCUAUUACUGGGUCUAAAGGGUCUGUAGCCGGCCGGAUAAGUCUCUUGGGAAAUCCAGCUGCUCAACAGUUGGGCUUUCAGGAGAUACUGUUCGGCUCGAGGCCGGGAGAGGUGAGAGGUACUUCAGGGGUAGGGGUGAAAUCUUGUAAUCCUUGAAGGACCACCAGUGGCGAAGGCGUCUCACCAGAACGGUCCUGACGGCAAGGGACGAAAGCUAGGGGCACGAGCCGGAUUAGAUACCCGGGUAGUCCUAGCCGUAAACGAUACUCGCUAGGUGUCAGCCACGGUGCGACCGUGGUUGGUGCCGUAGGGAAGCCGUGAAGCGAGCCACCUGGGAAGUACGGCCGCAAGGCUGAAACUUAAAGGAAUUGGCGGGGGAGCACAAUCGAAU
rnacentral:rRNA from 1 species